rnacentral:lncRNA from 1 species
ACAGCUGAAUUUUUUCGAACUCGAGAGCUGCUUCUCUCGGUCAGCUGUCUGGUACCGGUACAAGCUUAAUGCAAUACCGGUAACAAAAAUUCCAGACUUAAAUUUUCGCAUCGUUUCGACUCCAAUUCGCGUCGAGCAAUACUAAAACCUUUCUAACUUAUUUAGAACUCACUUUUAACCCUUCCAACAUUGUUGGAGUGCUAAAUGGAACUUGUUCAACUAUUUCUUUCGAACACUUUAAUCAAUUUGGCUAAAGUUCGAUAUACUCAACUGGGUUUCGGUAUAUUACAUAUCUUUUGCCAUUUUCUUUACUCUCUUUUCUUUUUUUUUUUUUUUUUAAGAUCAUCUCCCCACCAUAUGCAUUCAAUGACGGUUAGUUUUGGAUUCAGGUUCAGGUUUGGAUAUAGAUUUUUAAAAUCCAUCGGUUUCGGGUUCAAUUUCGAGUUUGGAUUCGGGUCCGGAUCUUUGAAAAU